AGCAGCCGCGGUAAUUCCAGCUCCAAUAGCGUAUAUUAAAGUUGCUGCAGUUAAAAAGCUCGUAGUUGAAUUUCGGGACCGAUAUAUCGGUCGUGCCUCGGUACGUACUGGUAUUUUCGGUUUCUCCCUUCUGACGAACCUUGAUGUCAUUAAUUUGGUGUCUUGGGGAAUCAGGACUGUUACUUUGAAAAAAUUAGAGUGUUUAAAGCAGGCUCACGCUUGAAUACAUUAGCAUGGAAUAAUGAAAUAGGACGUUUGAUUCUAUUUUGUUGGUUUCUAGGAUCGACGUAAUGAUUAAUAGGGAUAGUUGGGGGCAUUAGUAUUCAAUUGUCAGAGGUGAAAUUCUUGGAUUUAUUGAAGACUAACUACUGCGAAAGCAUUUGCCAAGGAUGUUUUCAUUAAUCAAGAACGAAGUUAGGGAUCGAAGACGAUCAGAUACCGUCGUAGUCUUAACCAUAAACUAUGCCGACUAGGGAUCGGAUGAUGUUAAUUUUUAAUGUACUUCAUUCGGCGCCUUACG
rnacentral:rRNA from 1 species